UACGCCACCGCGGAAAGAAAAAACCCGUCUCCCCUCUGCUCCUGGGCCCGCGAUCUUCAAAAGUAACCAGAGCCCGCAUUAAAAAAAAAAAAAAUAACCAUUUCGCUUCCUGACGGUCCCACCCUCCUUGCGGCGCUGCGGGCCGGCCGCCGGGCUGGCGAUCCCCGCCCAACUCCGCUCCCGGCUCCCGCCCGCAGGAGGAGCCUACCCGGCCAGAUCCCGCUGCCACCCGCUUUCCAGGAACUGUCACUGCUGACCGGGCCCCUGGCAGGUCUCCACAAGGUCCCGCGCACGAACGAUUCCUCGAAGAGUUACCCACCCACUUGGCCAGCCUCGUGGCUCGAGCUCCUACCUCGGUCCGCCCGCUCCAUUCCCGGGAGCCCUAGUUGUAUGGAGAUUGGUGAGAGAGCAAGGGUGGACUUCAAAGAUGACCACUUUCCUCUGUGGAGCUGUGAAAUGAGUCGUGAAUACCUAGCACAUUUCCUCUGCAAAGGCUCCACUUACACGAUGCUUCUGAGGCAAGUGCUGCUCCCACUGAUGUAAAGGAACGGCUGUCCUGCUGGGUAAGAUUGCUGAACCUUGAAGGCUGCUGGGCAUCUGCUGUCGCCCUGGGUUCUGAGUGUUCUUUAGCUCCCCAGAAUGUGGACACAAAGCAAGCAGAUGACAUGUCAUUUCGGGGGUCAGGGGAUAUUUACUGAAAAUACUAAGAAGAUCAAGGUGGGACUUCCCCUGGUCCAGUGGUUAUGAAUCUGCCUGCCAAUGUAGGGAACACAGGUUCGAUCCCUGUUCUGGGAAGAUGUCAUAUUCAGCAGAGCAACUACUGAAGCCCGUGCACCCAGAGACCAUGCUCUGCAACGAGAGAACCCACCACAAUGAGGAGCAUGCAUGACCACAGCUACAGAGUCGCUUGCCGCAACUUAAGAAAGCCCAAGGACAGCAACAAAGAUCCAGCACAGU